GACGAACGCUGGCGGCGUGCUUAACACAUGCAAGUCGAACGGAAAGGCCCUGCUUUUGUGGGGUGCUCGAGUGGCGAACGGGUGAGUAACACGUGAGUAACCUGCCCCUGACUGUGGGAUAACUUCAGGAAACUGGGGCUAAUACCGGAUAGGAGCUCCUGCUGCUUGGUGGGGGUUGGAAAGUUUCGGCGGUUGGGGAUGGACUCGCGGCUUAUCAGCUUGUUGGUGGGGUAGUGGCUUACCAAGGCUUUGACGGGUAGCCGGCCUGAGAGGGUGACCGGCCACAUUGGGCUUGGGAUACGGCCCGGACUCCUCCGGGAGGCAGCAGUGGGGAAUAUUGCACAAUGGGCGGAAGCCUGAUGCAGCAACGCCGCGUGGGGGAUGACGGCCUUCGGGUUGUAAACCGCUUUCGCCUGUGACGAAGUGUGAGUGACGGUAAUGGGUAAAGAAGCACCGGCUAACUACGUG
rnacentral:rRNA from 1 species